AAUCUCCGGAAUAAAAAAAUCUGUCC
rnacentral:piRNA from 1 species